AUUAAGUAAAAAUCACGUGCCUCAAAUAACUUUUCACCUUGCUGAGCGAGAGUUUGCUCCCCUCCCCCACCGAGGCCUCAGCUGGCACUUUUCCAACCCAGUGUUCACUUCAUACAGCUAAGAGACCAGCCUCUCCCCAUCCCCCACCAUGUUAACAGCCAAUUAGUGAUUAUCCAAUCAGAGCGCUCCAUGAGCUGCAAUGUAAUAUUCCAUACCAGUUUUCACUUGCCUGCAUGCUCUCCCCAUCCCCCACCAUGUUAACAGCCAAUUAGUGAUUAUCCAAUCAGAGCGCUCCAUGAGCUGCAAUGUAAUAUUCCAUACCAGUUUUCACUUGCCUGCAUGCUCUCCCCAUCCCCCACCAUGUUAACAGCCAAUUAGUGAUUAUCCAAUCAGAGCGCUCCAUGAGCUGCAAGCACAAGAAGUUUUCUAAUUUUCAUAUAAAACUUUCCCCUAUGGCAGGAUGGAGACCUCGCGAUUUACGCGACGGAUGGAGCGACUUCAUCACCAAAAGUGUGAGGAGACAUUUGAAAAAGCCCAGUCCUCCAAGGUGCAGUUAUUCAGCCAUAGCAACAAGGAUCAUCACCCAUCAUCCACUGAUCAUGAGGAGCAGCUAGGGAUACUGCAACCUUCAAAAUCAGAGGUGUCUGUCGAAGUUGAGUUAUCCAGCCACACUGUAUCCAACAAAGACCAUCACCCAUCAUCCAGUUAUCAUGAAGAGCAGCUAGAGAUACUGGAACCUUUGAUACCAGAGGUGUCUGUCGAAGUUGAGUUAUCCAGCCACACUGUAUCCAACAAAGACCAUCACCCAUCAUCCAGUUAUCAUGAAGUGCAGCUAGAGAUACUGGAACCUUUGAUACCAGAGGUGUCUGUCGAAGUUGAGUUAUCCAGCCACACUGUAUCCAACAAAGACCAUCACUCGUCAUCAAAUGAACAUGAUGUGCUCUUUGAAGAGACAGCAUUAUCCAGCCACAGUGGAUCAGAUGAAGACUAUCAUCAUUCAUCCACACCAUCAUCCAGUGAAAAUGAGGUGGUCCCAGAGGAGUCUGUGAUGUCCAACUUUGAUAUAACAGUGAAAAACUGUGGUCGCUCAUUCAGUGAACAUGAGGCACUGGAAGGUGAGGGCCUAGAAACCAAAGCUAAGUCACUUCAGCCAGCCAAACAAUUAAGGAGAAGAAGAAAUAAAAAGUCACAAGUAACUAUUAAAACAAGCAAAAAAAAGGAUGGUGGAAGAUCCUGGAAUAAAGCCCAUUACUGUUUCUAUUGUAAACGGUCUAAUUUGCAGAUAGCUAGACAUUUACAAAGAAAACACAUGGAUGAAGAUGAUGUAGCUUUUGCCUUUAGUUUUCCUCCUGGCUCCAAACAAAGGAAGAUGCAGUUGGAAUUCCUUCGCAAUAAGGGCGACUGGCAACAUAAUCUGAAGGUUUUGGAAGAAGGACAUGGGGAAAUAGUAACAUGGAAACAGCCCUCUGAGAAGGCUUCGGUUCAGGACUACCUACCAUGCCAACACUGCUAUGAAAUGUUCAAGAAGACUGAACUCUGGAGACAUGAGAAGUCGUCAUGUAGAAGUAGGAAUAGGGAAAGGGAAGAAGGUAAAAAAAGAAGAGUACAAAAAGCUUCCUCACAACUCCUUCCAAUGAGGGAAUCAUCUGAAGGAAUGCAAAAGAUCAUUCAUAGUAUGUUACAGGAUAACGUAACCCGUCUCAUCAGAAACGAUGAGAUGAUAUGUACAUAUGGAGAUGCGUUAUUUGCGAGGAAACACCGUGAACAAUCUCAGCAUAGAUACAUUGCACAAAAGAUGAGAGAACUGGGGAGGUUUGUGUUGGCUGCCAAGGAAAUUGAUAGUAGUGUCAAAACACUAAAAGAUAUGUGAUCCAGUAAAAUUUGAACUGGUAAUUAAAGCAGCCAGGAGGGUGUCGAACUAUAGUGCAAACACAGGUGAAUACGGAAAGCCAUCUACUGCAGUCAAAAUUGGAUUUUCUCUUAAAGGAGCAACAGAAACCUGGAUUGGCCAUUGUUUGAUGACGUCGGAUGUUUUGGCUGAAAAGAAAGCUAAAAAAUUCAAGGAAUUGCUAGAUUAUUCCUGGUCCAGUUACGUGUCGGCUAAUGCUCGUAGUACAAUAGAACAACGAAGGUGGAGCAAUGAAGACUGUGUUUCUUUGACAGAGGAUAUUGUUACUCUUCAGAACUACUUGAGGAAUGUUGAGGAUGAGGCCAAGGCAGAGUUACAUAGAAACGUGAGCACCACAGCAUACAAAAUGUUAAGUGAGAGCCUUCUCGCACAAAUAAUAGUUUUUAAUAAGAAGUGCGAAGGAGAAGCAUUACGUUUAACCUUGGAGAUGUAUUUUAAAGCAGAUACAGGCCCUGUUAACAAAGACAUAUAUGAGACCCUAUCACCAGUGGAAAAGCAGCUGAGCCACAGGCUGACACGAAUAGUGAUACGUGGAAAAAGAGGUAGAAAAGUGCCUGUUCUCCUUCUUGAGCGUACUAAAUCCUCUCUUGACUUCCUGAUCAAAAAACGAAAAGAAGUUGGUGUACUGGAUGACAACCCAUUUUUAUUUGCAAGGAUCGGUACAACCACCAAUAUUCGUGGACGUGACUGCUUGAGGAAAUUUUCUGAAGCAUGCAAGGCCAAAAAUCCAGAGCUCCUUAGAUCAACAAAACUGAGAAAGCAUGUUGCCACCUUAUGCCAGCUUUUGGACUUUGACAAUCAAGAACUGGAACAAGUAGCUUGUUUUAUUGGACAUGAUAUAAGAGUUCACUGUGAUCGUCACCAAACAGAGAGAACUUUUCAGGUGGCCAAGAUUGGGAAACUUUUAUUUGCAAUGGAGAGCGGAGCAAAGUCACUUAAAGGGAAAAGUCUGGAGACACUGGACUCUGUGGUUUUUGAUGGAGCACAGCCACACCUAAUCACCACAGGCUUAACUGUUGAGAGGCCAAAGAAGACUACAGCUGAAAGACAUGAUGAUGAUGGGGAUGGAGAGGAGGAACCACGGAACACCAAAGUAUUGUCUGCUAUGAUGCGAAAGAGGACUGCUACAAGAUCCCCUGUUAAGAGGCGAAAGAAGACUGCAGCUAAAAGACGACAGGGUGAUAGUGGUGGUGAUGGUGAGAGGGAUGGAGAGGAGGAAACACAGUCCACCAUUAGAUUGUCUGUUAUGACACACAAGAAGGCUGGACCUAAAUGGCGACAUGAUGAUGAUUGGGAUGGAGAGGAGCGAAACGUCACUUCCACAAGACUCCCUAUUAAGGGGCGAAAAAAAAGACGACUACAAGAUCAUGCAUAGACAAUGUAUGGAAAAUACAAAUCAAGAGACCCUGGACUGAACAGGAGAGGUGUGCAGUUCUGCAAAGCAUGGCCAGGUUUAUUGCCCUAAGGAGGGUGCCAGCAAAAAAAGACUGCCAGCUGUGCAUUGGGAAAGAAUCUCCAUUACUCCACACUUGAACAUGGAAAGACGUUAAGUACUUUGUGUAUAAUGAAAUGAUCAAAGUCAAGAAGCAGCUGGAAUUUUAACUUUCGUCAUGCAUUCAGUGUUCAUAUUCAUGUAUUCAGUAUUGUUUUAAUAAAUGAUUGAUAUUUGAAUGCUGGUUACGUUCUUUGUUUUAAAAUUAAACAAUAAUCAUUACGGCUUAUGAUAAUAGAGCUAUCUUACAGGCAGCAUUUUGACAUGAAAUAGUAGGUAAACAGAUGUUUAUUAAUGAAGAUUUGGUUCUAUUUAGGUACAGAGUCUGAUUUAGUGUCACCAGGAAUGUAUGUGCCAACAAUUUGACUCAAUAUUCGAAAACAAUAAAUGGUAUCUUAGUUGAGCACUACUGUAAAUAAGGGGUAGAAGCAGAGUAUUUAGGUAGCAAUCCACAUGAAAAAAAUAUAAAACUGCCAAACUUCCUCAAUAAACAAAGAUUAUGCCUACUUAUUCUCACCUGUAAAGUACUGUGAGACAAUACAAAUGCACUGAGUGCCUGGUCCUCACAUUGUUGGUUAAAAACUUUUUCUAAAACUUGGUGUUUUAUGUAAUCUAAAGGAAUGUAUUCAUUAAGGGGGCCCUCUAGUGUCCAGAAUGACUAUGUGUUUAUAUGUGCCUCAGAAAUGCCGGUCCUCACUUUGUGGGUCUUUUUACCCGGUCC